rnacentral:rRNA from 1 species
GACUGUAGGUGAAAGCUUACAUCUCUUCGGAGCAUUUUACGAGGUGCUGCAUGGUUGUCGUCAGCUCGUGCCGUGAGGUGUCGGGUUAAGUCCCAUAACGAGCGCAACCCUACCUUUAGUUGCCAUCAGGUAAUGCUGGGGACUCUAAAGGAACUGCCUACGCAAGUAGUGAGGAAGCGGGGAUGACGUCAAAUCAGCACGGCCCUUACGUCCAGGGCUACACACGUGCUACAAUGGCCGAUACAGAGGGCAGCUACCUGGUGACAGGAUGCAAAUCUCCAAAGUCGGUCUCAGUUCGGAUCGGAGUCUGCAACCCGACUCCGUGAAGUUGGAUUCGCUAGUAAUCGCGCAUCAGCCAUGGCGCGGUGAAUACGUUCCCGGGCCUU